rfam:Aedes albopictus isolate Foshan contig46019, whole genome shotgun sequence.
UAGCCUACUGGUUAAGGCUAUGGAUCGCCAAUCCGGAGACGGCGGGUUCGAUUCCCGU